rnacentral:rRNA from 1 species
GCUAGCUACAGGCUUAACACAUGCAAGUCGAGGGGCAUCAGGAAGAAAGCUUGCUUUCUUUGCUGGCGACCGGCGCACGGGUGAGUAACACGUAUCCAACCUGCCCUUUACUCGGGGAUAGCCUUUCGAAAGAAAGAUUAAUACCCGAUGGCAUAAUGAUUCCGCAUGGUUUCAUUAUUAAAGGAUUCCGGUAAAGGAUGGGGAUGCGUUCCAUUAGGUUGUUGGUGAGGUAACGGCUCACCAAGCCUUCGAUGGAUAGGGGUUCUGAGAGGAAGGUCCCCCACAUUGGAACUGAGACACGGUCCAAACUCCUACGGGAGGCAGCAGUGAGGAAUAUUGGUCAAUGGGCGCUAGCCUGAACCAGCCAAGUAGCGUGAAGGAUGAAGGCUCUAUGGGUCGUAAACUUCUUUUAUAUAAGAAUAAAGUGCAGUAUGUAUACUGUUUUGUAUGUAUUAUAUGAAUAAGGAUCGGCUAACUCCGUGCCAGCAGCCGCGGUAAUACGGAGGAUCCGAGCGUUAUCCGGAUUUAUUGGGUUUAAAGGGAGCGUAGGUGGACUGGUAAGUCAGUUGUGAAAGUUUGCGGCUCAACCGUAAAAUUGCAGUUGAUACUGUCAGUCUUGAGUACAGUAGAGGUGGGCGGAAUUCGUGGUGUAGCGGUGAAAUGCUUAGAUAUCACGAAGAACUCCGAUUGCGAAGGCAGCUCACUGGACUGCAACUGACACUGA